rnacentral:rRNA from 1 species
AUUGAACGCUGGCGGCGUGCUUAACACAUGCAAGUCGAGCGGAGCGGCGAACGGGUGCGUAACGCGUGAGUAACUGCCCCCCUCCCUGGGCUAACAGUUGGAAACGGCUGCUAAUACAGGAUAGUGGGGGAUGACUCGCGUCCUAUCCGCUUGUUGGUGGGGUAGUGGCCUACAAGGGCGACGACGGGUGGCCGGCCUGAGAGGGCGACCGGCCACAUGGGGCUGAGAUACGGCCAAAACUCCUACGGGAGGCAGCAGGGGGGAAUAUUGCACAAUGGGGGAAACCCUGAUGCAGCAACGCGCGUGCGGGAUGACGGCCUUCGGGUUGUAAACCGCUUUCAGCCAUGACGCGGUAGUGGCAGAAGAAGCACCGGCUAACUACGUGCCAGCAGCCGCGGUAAUUC